rnacentral:tRNA from 1 species
UCCGCGCGAGCUGCUGGAGCAGGCGGCGUUCGCGCUGCUGGACUACAUCGAGUCGUACACGGACGGGUUCCGGAUCCUGGUGCGGGA